AAAUAACAAAACUAAUGAAAAUGAUAUAACAAAAAAAAAUAAAACAAAAGUUAAGAAAACUGGAAGUAGUAGUAUAUCUAAAAGUAAAAAUGCAUUAACAAAUAGUGAGACAACCAAUAUUGGUGUAAAUUCAAAAAUGUUAGAAAAAAAGCAAAUUGUAUUAAAGACAAAAAAAAUAAAAAAUAAAGCAAAAGAAGAUGACGUUAAAAAGGAAAACGUUUUAUUAGAAAAAAUUUCUAAUAAUUCUAAAAAAAUAACGGUUACUACAGAUGUAUUUGUUAGUGCAAAUGAAGCUAAAAUGGAUAACGAAAGUAGUAGUGAAAAAAAUGGCCAAAAAAAAAAGAGCAACAAAAAUGGAGAAAAAAACAAUGAGCAAAAUGGAGAAAAAAACAAUAACCAAAAUGGAGAAAAAAACAAUAACCAAAAUGGAGAAAAAAACAAUAACCAAAAUGGAGAAAAAAAACAAAACAUAAAUAACAAAAUAAAUGAAAAAUUGCUUAGCGAAAAAGACACGAAGCAAAUAAUUUCCGAACUGAAGAGCAUAUUAAACAUAGUUGACAAACCAAAAGAAACGAAAAAAAUCAAUGGAUUAUCACCUNNNNNNNNNNNNNNNNNNNNNNNNNNNNNNNNNNNNNNNNNNNNNNNNNNNNNNNNNNNNNNNNNNNNNNNNNNNNNNNNNNNNNNNNNNNNNNNNNNNNAAAAAAGACACGAAGCAAAUAAUUUCCGAACUGAAGAACACAUUAAAUAUAGUUGACAAUGACAAACCAGUGGAAACAAAAAAAAUCGAUGGAUUAUCACCUGAAGAAAUUAAAACACUGGAUUGUUGGUACUUCGCUAACAAAUUAAAAAUUGUGUCAUGUUUGUUUGAAAAUAAGCCUUUAAACGCAGAUUUAUUGAAUGCUCUUUAUUUUGCUGAGCCAGGAUUUAAACAUAAGAAGAGUAAAAUAAUUAUUUAUUUAAAUUAUAUUAAAACAAAUUAUGAUAAAUCAAUAAAAAAUAGUGAUAUUAAAAAAAAUGAAAUAAACCAAAAAGAAAAUAUAAAAAGCAAUAUUAUAAAACAAUUAGAUAAUAGUAUAGAUAAUUUAAAAGAAAAAAGAUAUAUGAAAAAAAUAAUUACAAUUAUAAAAAAUGAAAUUAAUUACUUUAAUAUAACAUGUUAUAUUGAAUUCCUUUUAAAUGUUCCAAUUGAUAUUUAUGAUAUGUUUAUAGAACAACAAGGAAUUGAAUGUAUUAAAUUGAUUUUAGAAAAUUUAGCAAAAAAAAAAGUGUUAAAAAAUUAUAUUCCUUUAUUACGACAUAUAUUAAUUUUUUUAGAUAAAUUAAACAUAACUAUUGACCAUUUAAAAAAUACUUUUAUUGGUAUACCUAUCAAUUUUAUUGCUAGAAAUAAAAUCGACGUAAAAAAUAUGCUAGACUAUACUCAUGAUGAUGAACAGAUUGGACGCAUUGCGACCAGUUUAAUAAAUAAGUGGAAGUCGAUAAGAGAUAAAGCAGUCAUCGAUAGUAAACAAAUGGUGGAUAAACAUGUAAAAAACGAUGAAAAAAACGUAUCAAACCAUGUCAAAGAUACAGACAUAAAUUUAAGUCAAAACACAAGUGAAACUAUACUACACAUAACAGACAAAACGAACACUUUUCAAGUACAUGCGGACAAUAUAAAUGGUAAUGCAGGGGAAAUUAAUAAACAGAAUAACAGCCAGGUUGAUCAAUAUAAUAUUUGUACAGAAAUUAAACAAAAUUUAAAUGAUACGCUAAUAAAAACAGUUGAUAAAAAAAGGAAACUAUUUAAUGAUGAUGCUCCAAGUGGUUAUCAAAAUGAUGGCGAUAAAAUCAAAAUCAACAAUAACAGCAACAAACAAAUGAUUAAUAAAAAAAAUAGUGCAAUGCUGACUUUACCAACGAAUUCAAAAAGUAACAAAAAUAACUAUCAUCAAAAUGAAAAAACAAAAAAUUUAAAUAACACUGGUGAAACGAAAAAUAUUAUGCUGGAAAUUAUUGGAACGUUAAACGAAGAACAUGAAAAAAAAAAAAAAAGAUAUUUAGAAUAUAAGAAAGCCAAAAUCGAAGGAAAGAUAAAAAAAUAUAGUUCCGAACAAAACAAAACAAGCCAUAUUAAAAAAGAAAAAUUGCUAGCAGACAUAUCGGAAAUAGAACAUAUAAAACUUGACAACGCCAUAGAUAGAAAGGCACAUAUGAAUAGUUUUCGAACUAAUGCCAAUUUGAAUAGUACCAAUUUGAAUAGUACCAAUUUGAAUAGUACCAAUUUGAAUAGUGCCAAUUUAAACAGUGUCAAUUUGAAAAGUACCAAUUUGAAUAAAACAUUUUCCGAUAGCCAAAAUUUAAUUAAAAAUUAUAACUUGUAUGAAAAUGUGAAUAACAAUAGGACCCCUAUGAUAGCAAAAUCACCAACGGUGUAUAAUAGAACCUCUGAAAAUAACAACAUCGGCUUAAAUAUUAAAAAUAAAAACAUUAACGGGCUUAUUUCCAGGUCAUAUAUUAAAAAUAGUAAUAAUAACAGCAAUAGUAAUGACAACGUACAAUAUAUACAUAAAAAUGAACAAAAUUCAAAAUGGAAUAUGCAGACUCAAAAUGUGCCAACUACAAUGACGUCCAAUAGGAGCUCUAAUUUACUUAAUAACAAUUUUGUAACAGAAAAACAUAUGUAUCCCCAAAAGUAUAACACACAUGACGGUACUAACAAUUUUAAUUAUUCUCAUAUAUCUGACGCAAUAAAUAUAUUGAGUUGUUUAAAAAAUGUAAAUAAAAAUAGCAAUAACAAUAGUAAUAAUGACAAUUUUGGUUAUGCAGGAAAUGUAGGUAAUUAUUCCAAGUCAUUAACUACAACUAUUGGGUCUCAGGAAUGUACAUAUGAUAACGUUGUAAGUGAUAACAUGCAUAUAAAUAGAAACAAUUAUAAUAAAACAUCGGAUAUACAACUAACAAAUGACAACCAGUUAAUUACAACACUAAAUGAAAGCUUUAACAAAAUUAAAAACUAUUCAAAUAAAAUAAAUUCCGAUGUUUAUCUAACUCAUACCAAUAAACAUAGUGGCUAUUCAGAUACACCUAGGACAAAUGGUAAUAAUGGUAUGUAUGAUUUUAUUUUUAAAAAUGAUGGGCAUAGUGGUAAUAACAAAUAUAUCCAUAACAACAAUAGUAGCGAUAACAUAGAAGUAAGUAAAUAUACUAAUACAGAUGUCCUAUAUACCAAUAAAAAUGCAUAUGGUAAUGAUUUAUUCCCACAUAGAUUUAAUAAUUUAAAACAAAUGCAAAAAAUAAAUGACAACAAUGUUUUGGUUAAAGAUCCUUUUGAAUUUUAUGAUACUUAUAAUAAUGGACAGAAGGAGAAGGAGAAGAAGGAGAAGAAGGAGAAGAAGGAGAAGAAGGAAAAGAAGGAAAAGACCGAGGAAAACGAUAAUGAGCUCAAAGUAAACCGAAUGGACGGAAUAGAAAACAUAAUUAACAAUGUUGAAGAAUAUCAUAAUGUACUUGUUAAGAAUAAAACAAAUGUACAUCAAAAUAUAACAAUUGAUAAAAACAGUGGAUAUAAUACAAAUUUGUUAAAAAACACAUUAAACAUAUUAACAUCAAAUAUGAACAUAUAUGAUGAAAUAAACACAGCAAAAAGUGGAGGACAAACUGAAGAAGGAACAAUUAAUAUAUUUAACAUAAAAAAUGAAGGAAAUAAUGGAAAUAACCAUCUUAACAAUAAUAACAUUAUAUAUAACAAAAUAAAUAUAAAUGACGUAUUGGAUAACAUUUUCAAAAAUUAUAAACCAUUUGAACAGAUUAAAGAAAAUCAUAAAGAAAAUAUAACAUCUACAUAUUCCCCUUCAAUUAUCUAUAAAGAUAAUGAAAUUACUAAAAAUGAUUUGACAAUAAAAUUAAAUUGUUAUAAAUAUGAAAAUGUAUCUUUGUAUUUAAAUUAUAAAAAUACGAGUCCUAAUUUAAUGGGAACAACAACCAAUGGUAAUGAGUUUCCUAUAUUACCAUUACAAGGCUUAUUUGCACCUGCAGAUUUAAAACAACUUAAUUUACCACCUAUACCAAUUUUACCUAAUCUUUUACCUACACAAAACAUCAUACCACCAGUUCUAUUACCAUUUAAUAACAUAUUAGAAUCAUCAAUAAACAAUAGUAAUAACAAUAAAAGUACUAUUAAUGUACAACAAAACGAUAAUAGUAAAAACGAAUAUGUGCACAUCUAUAAUAAAAAUAACUUAUACACUUCUUUUGAUGAGUUCAUAAAUAUUUUCGACGACGAUAUAAAGCAAGUUCUGUUAAAAAACAGAGACGUAAUAAUAAAAUAGAAUAAACAAAUUAAAUACGCUCA
rnacentral:lncRNA from 1 species